UAGUAGUAGUAGUAGUAGUAGCAGCGGUAGUGGUAGUAGCAGUAGUAGUUGCAGUAGUAGUAGUAGUAGUAGCAGCAGUAGUAGUAGUAGCAGCAGUGGUAGUAGUAGUAGUAGUAGUAGCAGCAGUGGUAGUAGUGGUAGCAGCAGUGGUAGUAGUAGUAGUAGUAGUAGUAGUAGCAGCGGUAGUAGUAGCAGUGGUAGUAGUAUUAGUGGUAGCAGUAGUAGUAGUAGUAGUAGUAGCAGCGGUAGUUGUAGUUGUUCUUGUUGUUGUAGUAGUAGUAGAAGUAGCAGCAGUAGUGGUAGUAGCAACAGUGGUGGUAGUAGUAGUGGUAGCAGUAGUAGUAGUAGUGGUAGCAGUAGUAGUAGUAGUAGUAGCAGCGGUAGUUGUAGUUGUAGUAGCAGCGGUGGCGGUAGUAGUAGUAGCAGCAGUGGUGGUAGUAGUAGUAGCAGCGGUAGUGGUAGCAGCAGUAGUAGUAAUAGUAGCAGCAGUGGUAGUAGUAGCAGCAGCGGUAGUAAUAGUAGCAGCAGUGGUAGUAGUAGCAGCAGUAGUAGUAAUAGUAGCAGCAGUGGUAGUAGUAGCAGCAGUAGUAGUAAUAUUAGCAGCAGUGGUAGUAGUAGCAGCAGUAGUAGUAAUAGUAGCAGCAGUAGUAGUAGUAGUAGCAGCAGUAGUAGUAAUAUUAGCAGCAGUGGUAGUAGUAGCAGCAGUAGUAGUAAUAGUAGCAGCAGUAGUAGUAAUAGUAGCAGCAGUGGUAGUAGUAGCAGCAGUAGUAGUAAUAUUAGCAGCAGUGGUAGUAGUAGCAGCAGUAGUAGUAAUAGUAGCAGCAGUGGUAGUAGUAGCAGCAGUA